rnacentral:lncRNA from 1 species
UGUGAUUUAGCUAAAGAAAAAAAGGGUUAAUUGCAUGCAGGCUCCUAUAAAUAUAGUGAAUUAUAAAUUUAUUCCUACAAAAUUUAACUUUUAUAUGUUGUUCCUAUAAAAUUUCUAAUAUUCUCAAUUAUAUCCCUUCCGUUAGAAAAUUUUAAUUAACCAUAGGUUAAAACUUAACCUUGGUUAGUUUAUGAGAUAACUUAAUACUUUUACUCUUUUUAUAUUAUACUGUUGUGGCUUUUGAAAGGACAUAUUUGUGAUUGCAAAAUUAAUAUUUCACUUAUUUGUUGUUAAAAUAUAAACAGUUCUAUAACAAUAAUAAAUCAAGGAAACAUAUUUGAAAAUAUUAAAACUUUGUAGAAACAACAUAUGAAAGUUGAACUUUAUAGGAAUAUAUUUGUAAUUUACUAUAUUUGUAAGGACCUGCAUGCAUUUAACGCAAAAAAACGUCAUUUUGUGAAG